GACGAACGCUGGCGGCGUGCUUAACACAUGCAAGUCGAGCGAUGAAGCUCCUUCGGGAGUGGAUUAGCGGCGGACGGGUGAGUAACACGUGGGUAACCUGCCUCAUAGAGGGGAAUAGCCUUUCGAAAGGAAGAUUAAUACCGCAUAAGAUUGUAGCUUCGCAUGAAGCAGCAAUUAAAGGAGUAAUCCGCUAUGAGAUGGACCCGCGUCGCAUUAGCUAGUUGGUGAGGUAACGGCUCACCAAGGCGACGAUGCGUAGCCGACCUGAGAGGGUGAUCGGCCACAUUGGGACUGAGACACGGCCCAGACUCCUACGGGAGGCAGCAGUGGGGAAUAUUGCACAAUGGGGGAAACCCUGAUGCAGCAACGCCGCGUGAGUGAUGACGGUCUUCGGGUUGUAAAGCUCUGUCUUCAGGGACGAUAAUGACGGUACCUGAGGAGGAAGCCACGGCUAACUCCGUGCCAGCCGCCGCAGUAA
rnacentral:rRNA from 1 species